GGUGGCGUCUCCGGAUGCAGAGGAGCAAGACGGGGGAGUGAAUUGGUGCUGGAGGAGGAGGAGAGGGGAGGAAAGGGUGUCGGCGGAGGCGGCGGAGGAGGAGGAGGAGGAUGAGGUGGUGGUGUCGGAGAGGGAGAUCUGGAGGGCCAUGGCGACGGCCGCGUUCUCGCGGGCAGAGACCUCGCUGAUCCACGCCGAUUCCGAGUGGUACACCCACGGAUCGAGCACCGAGCAGUUGUCCGCCAUAUCCCUCGGCGGAUUCGAGGAUCGAGAAGGGCGAUCGAUUGGGAUUGGAGCUCAGAAGGGAGUGAAGGCGAAUGGUGAGAGGCACGGAGG
rnacentral:lncRNA from 1 species